UACCGCGGUCUUACGGGCUGGUCGGAUUCAUUGGGCGUAAAGGGUGCGUAGGUGGUUGGGUAAGUCAAAUGUGAAAUCCCGGAGCUCAACUCCGGAACUGCAUUCGAUACUGCCCGGCUCGAGGAUUGGAGAGGAGACUGGAAUUCACGGUGUAGCAGUGAAAUGCGUAGAGAUCGUGAGGAACACCCGUGGCGAAGGCGGGUCUCUGGACAAUUCCUGACACUGAGGCUCGAAGGCCAGGGGAGCAAACCGG
rnacentral:rRNA from 1 species